GGGGGGGGGGGCAAGCGUUGUUCGGAAUUACUGGGCGUAAAGGGCGCGCAGGCGGGCCCGGCCAGUCCCUUGCGAAAUCCCACGGGCUCAACUGUGGAACUGCAGGGGAUACUGCCAGGCUUGAGUCCGGGAGAGGGUAGUGGAAUUCCCAGUGUAGCGGUGAAAUGCGUAGAUAUUGGGAGGAACACCGGUGGCGAAGGCGGCUACCUGGACCGGUACUGACGCUGAGGCGCGAAAGCUAGGGGAGCAAACGGGAUUAGAUACCCCGGUAGUCCUAGCUGUAAACGUUGAGCACUUGGUGUGGUGGGUAUCGACCCCUGCUGUGCCGAAGCUAACGCAUUAAGUGCUCCGCCUGGGGAGUACGGUCGCAAAGGCUG
rnacentral:rRNA from 1 species